CUGACCUGUAGCAGUGAUGCUAACCCAGUAGCUAAAUACACCUGGUACAAGGAGAAUGAAGACUCACCAAAAGCAUCAGGACAGAUCUUCACCAUCCAUGAUGUCAGACCUGAACACAGUGGGAAUUAUUACUGUGAAGCCCAGAACAGAAGAGGACGUCAUAACUCCACCUUAAAUCUGACUGUUGUAGCAGGGAAAUCAGUAAUUACAAUUAAUAUCAUCGUGGUGAUUCUGGUGGUCCUGAUGCUGAUUCCUCUGCUUCUCUUGAGUCUGUGUAUAAGG